rnacentral:tRNA from 1 species
GCGGGCGUGGCGGAAUUGGUAGACGCACCAGAUUUAGGUUCUGGCGCCGCAAGGCGUGGGGGUUCAAGUCCCUUCGCCCGCACCA